rnacentral:rRNA from 1 species
GACGAACGCUGGCGGCGUGCCUAAUACAUGCAAGUAGAACGCUGAAGGAGGAGCUUGCUUCUCUGGAUGAGUUGCGAACGGGUGAGUAACGCGUAGGUAACCUGCCUGGUAGCGGGGGAUAACUAUUGGAAACGAUAGCUAAUACCGCAUAAGAGUAGAUGUUGCAUGACAUUUGCUUAAAAGGUGCAAUUGCAUCACUACCAGAUGGACCUGCGUUGUCUUAGCUAGUUGGUGGGGUAACGGCUCACCAAGGCGACGAUACAUAGCCGACCUGAGAGGGUGAUCGGCCACACUGGGACUGAGACACGGCCCAGACUCCUACGGGAGGCAGCAGUAGGGAAUCUUCGGCAAUGGACGGAAGUCUGACCGAGCAACGCCGCGUGAGUGAAGAAGGUUUUCGGAUCGUAAAGCUCUGUUGUAAGAGAAGAACGAGUGUGAGAGUGGAAAGUUCACACUGUGACGGUAUCUUACCAGAAAGAGACGGCUAACUACGUG